GUCCCUUUCGUCCAGUGGUUAGGACACCGUCUUUUCAUGUCGAAGACACGGGUUCGAUUCCCGUAAGGGAUG
rfam:Vigna radiata mitochondrion, complete genome.